rnacentral:tRNA from 1 species
GGGGCUAUAGCUCAGCUGGGAGAGCGCAUCGCUGGCAGCGAUGAGGUCAGCGGUUCGAUCCCGCUUAGCUCCACCA